GCAUGCUUCCGAGGCGCAACUCUUCCAACGCUCAUGAAGCUCACAUUCACGUUCUCCUCCCCCAAAAUGCUCCCAACCUUUCCAAUCAUACCCGGCUGAUCUACCUGUCUGCAAAGUAUAAUGCUACCUUCCAAACUCACAUCCACUUCAAAAGACCCUACCUUUGUCAAAUGGGGAAUCCCAUCUUUGACACGUCCCUCCACUGUAAUCUCCCCAGACUCAGAAAUGGCACUGGCAAAUUUUGAUUCCACAUUAGCAAUCUGAACCUGGAUGAACUCAAGUGGACUCUCAG
rnacentral:lncRNA from 1 species